UGAAGUUUGUUGGAUGGAGGAGGUAGUUUUCGAGCAAUCUGCCCGACCAACGCCAUACCUUCGAGUCAUGCUGACACAGGAUGACGGGGAGACAAUUAUGGUGGCCAUUGCGACCGGGAACUUUUACCACGUGGCUAAAAGACUUUAUCAGGUCGGGAACGUAUACUGCUUUCCAAGUGGCAUGUUUGAGAUCCGUCCUCGUAUAGUCUAUCCACGGCAAGUUGAACUCGGAGAUAUGGAAGACUAAAUCCCGGCCCAUGCUUAUUAACGUUGAACUGAGUUAGUCUCCCAUAUCUCCGGGUUCAACUUGCCGUGGAAAGAGAGUACAUUGCAGGACUCGUGCUCAAGUUAUCCAUACGACUUGUGGUUCCUGAACGAUUCUGCCACAUCUGCUCAAACGAAUGACAUAUCCUGCCGCACUUCAACCUUGGAAGAGUCAAUGCAAAACAUGAGCAUAUUCUAAAAUUUUUGUAUAUUUUAUUUUAUAUUUUGUUUUAUUUUAUUAUGUAC